rnacentral:rRNA from 1 species
GAUGAACGCUGGCGGCGUGCCUAAUACAUGCAAGUCGAGCGAACGGACGAGAAGCUUGCUUCUCUGAUGUUAGCGGCGGACGGGUGAGUAACACGUGGAUAACCUACCUAUAAGACUGGGAUAACUUCGGGAAACCGGAGCUAAUACCGGAUAAUAUUUUGAACCGCAUGGUUCAAAAGUGAAAGACGGUCUUGCUGUCACUUAUAGAUGGAUCCGCGCUGCAUUAGCUAGUUGGUAAGGUAACGGCUUACCAAGGCAACGAUGCAUAGCCGACCUGAGAGGGUGGUCGGCCACACUGGAACUGAGACACGGUCCAGACUCCUGCGGGGGGCAGCAGUAGGGAAUCUUCCGCAAUGGGCGAAAGCCUGACGGAGCAAAGCCGCGUGAGUGAUGAAGGUCUUCGGAUCGUAAAACUCUGUUAUUAGGGAAGAACAUAUGUGUAAGUAACUGUGAACAUCUUGACGGUACCUAAUCAGAAAGCCACGGCUAACUACGUG